rnacentral:rRNA from 1 species
AUACCGCAUAACGUCGCAAGACCAAAGAGGGGGACCUUCGGGCCUCUUGCCAUCAGAUGUGCCCAGAUGGGAUUAGCUUGUUGGUGAGGUAACGGCUCACCAAGGCGACGAUCCCUAGCUGGUCUGAGAGGAUGACCAGCCACACUGGAACUGAGACACGGUCCAGACUCCUACGGGAGGCAGCAGUGGGGAAUAUUGCACAAUGGGCGCAAGCCUGAUGCAGCCAUGCCGCGUGUAUGAAGAAGGCCUUCGGGUUGUAAAGUACUUUCAGCGGGGAGGAAGGUGUUGUGGUUAAUAACCGCAGCAAUUGACGUUACCCGCAGAAGAAGCACCGGCUAACUCCGUGCCAGCAGCCGCGGUAAUACGGAGGGUGCAAGCGUUAAUCGGAAUUACUGGGCGUAAAGCGCACGCAGGCGGUCUGUCAAGUCGGAUGUGAAAUCCCCGGGCUCAACCUGGGAACUGCAUUCGAAACUGGCAGGCUUGAGUCUUGUAGAGGGGGGUAGAAUUCCAGGUGUAGCGGUGAAAUGCGUAGA